rnacentral:rRNA from 1 species
GACGGAGGAUGCAAGUGUUAUCCGGAAUCACUGGGCGUAAAGCGUCUGUAGGUGGUCAAAUAAGUCAACUGUUAAAUCUUGAGGCUCAACCUCAAAAUCGCAGUCGAAACUAUUAGACUAGAGUAUAGUAGGGGUAGAGGGAAUUUCCAGUGGAGCGGUGGAAUGCGUAGAUAUUGGAAAGACCACCAAUGGCGAAGGCACUCUACUGGGCCAUUACUGACACUGAGAGACGAAAGCUAGGGGAGCGAAUGGG